rnacentral:rRNA from 1 species
CUGGGUCACCUCCCACCCGUGUUUAUUUUACCUUGUUGCUUCGGCGGGCCCGCCUUAACUGGCCGCCGGGGGGCUUACGCCCCCGGGCCCGCGCCCGCCGAAGACACCCUCGAACUCUGUCUGAAGAUUGUAGUCUGAGUGAAAAUAUAAAUUAUUUAAAACUUUCAACAACGGAUCUCUUGGUUCCGGCAUCGAUGAAGAACGCAGCGAAAUGCGAUACGUAAUGUGAAUUGCAAAUUCAGUGAAUCAUCGAGUCUUUGAACGCACAUUGCGCCCCCUGGUAUUCCGGGGGGCAUGCCUGUCCGAGCGUCAUUGCUGCCCUCAAGCACGGCUUGUGUGUUGGGCCCCGUCCUCCGAUCCCGGGGGACGGGCCCGAAAGGCAGCGGCGGCACCGCGUCCGGUCCUCGAGCGUAUGGGGCUUUGUCACCCGCUCUGUAGGCCCGGCCGGCGCUUGCCGAUCAACCCAAAUUUUUAUCCAGGUUGACCUCGGAUCAGGUAGGGAUACCCGCUGAACUUAAGCAUAUCAAUAAGCGGAGG